UCCCAGAGACGAACCUCUCGUGCUAAUGAAUCUCGCGUAGCCCGCCCUUUUUUGUGGAGUUACCUCCCGCGAUCAGUGCUAUAGGCAGUAGUAGAAAUUGCCAGUGAGAUUCCCCUGAUGCCGCCGUGCCGAAUGACUCUGUAGAGCAAUUUUUGAGUAAAUUUCUCUGUUGCGCGUCCUGCCUGUAUCAGGGCGAUCAUUGUGUUUUUGGUGUGGAGGGGGGAGCAGCAACCGGCGAUUGCUCGGGCAAUUCGAUCAGGUGCUCUCGUACCGUUGCCAUCAACACAGAUCUCCCUGCAUAAUACAGUAGGUCGCUUGUGUUGUGUGUCCCAGGCUGCUGGUCCCUGUGUGAGUUGAGCGAGCCUCACAUGUGCGGGCUUCGCAAUCGGUCGGCUCGCUUCGGGUUAGAGAUUGGUCACAUGGUGGAUGCUAGGGCUUUGUGAUCAUCAUGAAAUGAGAUUUGAUUUGUCCAUCAGGGUUCGCGUCAAGCAAGUGAUUGUUCUGUACAACAUUGAUGAUAGUAUGAUGCUUGUUUGCUUAACGUGCUAUGUCCAAGCCAAUGUAAACAGCAGGAGAGAUGUGUCUUUGGACCUGCUAAUAAGUGACCACCCUUGAUCCCUGUACAGUUCAACACGGUUAGUUGUGCCUGGUCUUUCUUCUUUCCAUGGUGCAGGUAUUGCGUGCGCUUUUUUAGUUAGUUUUUAAACGGGAUGCUAGCUAAUUCAGCGUUAUUAUUGCAUUCCCCUUGCUAGAAGCGCACAAAAUACUUGAUUGUUACACCCUCUGUUCCCAAAUGUAGGACAUUCUGGCAGUUCAAAAUACUUGAUUGUUACAGAGGUAGUACAUGAUUGACAACCUCAUGUUGAGAUUGUUACAUGUGAACAAUGAUGACCAAUUAGGGCUUCUUUGGAUCACAGGAUUAGAAAACAAAGGAAUUCAAAAAACACAGGAAUUUGACGGGAUUGUAGGUGCAAAACAGAGGAUUACAAAAUAGAGGAAAACUACAAGAAUGGUCAUUUGGAUGGAACACAGGAAAAACACAGGAAAAGUGCCUCGAUCCUACGCGAAUCAGUGUAAAAAAGAGGUUAUAGUGGAUGUUGAAAUUCCUAUAGGAUUGAGGUGUAGGAAUGCAUCCAUAGGAAUUUUGGAGGUGUGGUUCCUUUGAUCCAAAGGGCUUCUUUAGGAAAAAAUCCAAUGGAUUGGAAUCCUCCAAUAUUCCUAUGAAAAUCCUUCAAUCCAAAGAGGCCCUUAGCUGGAGCCUGGAGAUAGUCUAAUCAUAAAUGAUUGCGCAGCUAGUAGCUGUUGUAAUUUUCCUCGUGCUAUGAAUCUUGUUGACAACAUGGUAGUAUUAUUAAAAGAAUUACCAUAUGUUGUAUCCUAGCUAAAACCUGGUUUAUAUCAGUGUUCUGCCUGUUUAUAUGACUAUCAUCUACAGGAUGUAGAAUAUAGUGUGCCCAAUCAAAGCAAUGUUCAUAUCGCAAGGCAAAAAAAAAACGAGGUUCAGAUAUAAUCUUGCAGCAAAGAUGGCAUCUGGUCAUGUUGCAGACAAGGCGAUCUACAAGACUAAAUGCUCCCAACUUUUGCCAACUUGCCCUCUUAUUGUGCAUGAUGAUGUCAAACUAAUUUACUGCAACAUAAAUGCAAGUUUACUAUCGACAUGUUAUGUGUUGGGAGCUUGGGAUGCAUAUGAUGCAAGGGAUACAUGAUUCAUAACUGACGGUUGUUUUGCAAUGAUCUUGUGUACUCAUUUCUACUUGUCCUUUGUUCAUGCGGUGCAUCUAUUGACAACUUGACGUCCAAAACAAUCAUUCGUAGUGAUGAGCAAGUCUUUUAUAGAAUGGGCAGGUGUCAGGUACAGAUUUUUGUGUGGCUUCUUCUUGGGCUGCUCGGAUCAGAUGGUCCCUGACUGAACUCUUAAAUAUGCUCAUGUGGUAUUUUCUUGGGAUUGUAUGUAGGCUAAAACCAUGGCCCGUGAAAGCAGGAGGUCCCACAAACACGUAAUAAUACUCACAUGUGUGUCAUCUUAUGUCAAAGCAAAGAAGUGUUUUUUCACUCUGCUCGGAAAAACCAAAUCCAUGUUUUCUGGACCGAAGUGUGAAAAAUACCAAGCAAACUCAGACUGACACCAGCAACCAACCUGUGUAAACGUCAUUGAGGACAUAGAUUUUUCUUUCUGUAUAUAUACUGGAAUAUAUGACUCGCUUAACACAUAACAAGCUCUUGCAAGUCCAGAGUCUUCCCUGUGCUAGUGUCACAGUGACGGUUUGUAGGAGGGCUCAGGUCGUCAGGUGUAUGUUUGGUGGUACAACUGUACAAGGAAACAACUCCGCAGGAUGGUGUGUUGAUGUGAUCGAGGAAGAGUCGAUAUGUAUAUGUUCUGUCAAAUAGCUCCUGGAUUCUUGGAUAUGUGCGACAAAACAAGGUCAUGAUAGAUAGAUUAAUAUGCAUGAUGACUGAAGUGUGGCGACUGAUUCCCUUGCGGAUGCUCGAUGUGAAGGCAGAGUAAUCUGUUAUGCUGGAGG